rnacentral:rRNA from 1 species
UACGGGGGGGGGCAAGCGUUGUUCGGAAUUACUGGGCGUAAAGGGCUCGUAGGCGGCCAACUAAGUCGGAUGUGAAAUCCCCCAGGCUUAACCUGGGAACUGCAUCCGAUACUGGAUGGCUUGAAUCCGGGAGAGGGAUGCGGAAUUCCAGGUGUAGCGGUGAAAUGCGUAGAUAUCUGGAGGAACACCGGUGGCGAAGGCGGCAUCCUGGACCGGCAUUGACGCUGAGGAGCGAAAGCCAGGGGGAGCAAAACGGG